rnacentral:tRNA from 1 species
GGGUGCGUAGCUCAGUUGGUUAGAGUACCACGUUGACAUCGUGGGGGUCACAGGUUCAAAUCCUGCCGCACCCA